GCAGGCGGGAAACCUUUACACUGUACGCAAGUGCGAUAAGGGGACUCCGAGUGUGAAGGCAUAGAGCCUUCACUUUUGUACACCGUAAGGUGGUGUACGAAUAAGGGCUGGGCAAGACCGGUGCCAGCCGCCGCGGUAAUACCGGCAGCCCGAGUGAUGGCCGAUAUUAUUGGGCCUAAAGCGUCCGUAGCUGGCCGGACAAGUCCGUUGGGAAAUCUGUUCGCUUAACGAGCAGGCGUCCAGCGGAAACUGUUCGGCUUGGGACCGGAAGACCUGAGGGGUACGUCCGGGGUAGGAGUGAAAUCCUGUAAUCCUGGACGGACCACCGGUGGCGAAAGCGCCUCAGGAGGACGGAUCCAACAGUGAGGGACGAAAGCUAGGGUCUCGAACCGGAUUAGAUACCCGGGUAGUCCUAGCUGUAAACGAUGCCCGCUAGGUGUGGCGCAGGCUACGAGCCUGCGCUGUGCCGUAGGGAAGCCGAGAAGCGGGCCGCCUGGGAAGUACGUCUGCAAGGAUGAAACUUAAAGGAAUUGGCGGGGGAGCACUACAACCGGAGGAGCCUGCGGUUUAAUUGGACUCAACGCCGGACAUCUCACCAGCUCCGACAGUAGUAAUGACGGUCAGGUUGAUGACCUUACCCGAUGCUACUGAGAGGAGGUGCAUGGCCGCCGUCAGCUCGUACCGUGAGGCGUCCUGUUAAGUCAGGCAACGAGCGAGACCCGCACUCCUAAUUGCCAGCAGUACCCUUUGGGUAGCUGGGUACAUUAGGUGGACUGCCGCUGCUAAAGCGGAGGAAGGAACGGGCAACGGUAGGUCAGUAUGCCCCGAAUGAGCUGGGCAACACGCGGGCUACAAUGGUCGAGACAAUGGGAUGCAACUCCGAGAGGAGGCGCUAAUCUCCUAAACUCGAUCGUAGUUCGGAUUGAGGGCUGAAACUCGCCCUCAUGAAGCUGGAUUCGGUAGUAAUCGCGUGUCAGAAGCGCGCGGUGAAUACGUCCCUGCUCCUU
rnacentral:rRNA from 1 species